rnacentral:ncRNA from 1 species
AAUAUAAAUAUUUUAGAUUCGUAUAAUCCCUAUAAUAUGGUUAGGGAGUUUCUACCAAGAGCCAGUAAUUCUUGAUUACGAAGAAAGUAUCUUU